rnacentral:rRNA from 1 species
AGAGUUUGAUCCUGGCUCAGAGCGAACGCUGGCGGCAGGCUUAACACAUGCAAGUCGAACGCCAUCUUCGGAUGGAGUGGCAGACGGGUGAGUAACGCGUGGGAACGUACCCUUUGGUUCGGAAUAUUCUCGGGAAACUGGGAGCAAUACCGGAUAAGCCCUACGGGGGAAAGAUUUAUCGUCAAAGGAGCGGCCCGCGUCAGAUUAGGUAGUUGGUGGGGUAAAGGCCUACCAAGCCUACGAUCUGUAGCUGGUCUGAGAGGAUGAUCAGCCACACUGGGACUGAGACACGGCCCAGACUCCUACGGGAGGCAGCAGUGGGGAAUCUUGGACAAUGGGCGCAAGCCUGAUCCAGCCAUGCCGCGUGGAUGAUGAAGGCCUUAGGGUUGUAAAAUCCUUUCAACGGGGACGAUAAUGACGGUACCCGUAGAAGAAGCCCCGGCUAACUUCGUGCCAGCAGCCGCGGUAAUACGAAGGGGGCUAGCGUUGCUCGGAAUUACUGGGCGUAAAGCGCACGUAGGCGGAUAUUUAAGUCGGAGGUGAAAGCCCAGGG